rnacentral:rRNA from 1 species
CCUGAAUCAGCAUGUGUGUUAGUGGAAGCGUCUGGAAAGGCGCGCGAUACAGGGUGACAGCCCCGUACACAAAAGCGCAUGUGCUGUGAGCUCGAUGAGUAGGGCGGGACACGUGGUAUCCUGUCUGAAUAUGGGGGGACCAUCCUCCAAGGCUAAAUACUCCUGACUGACCGAUAGUGAACCAGUACCGUGAGGGAAAGGCGAAAAGAACCCCGGCGAGGGGAGUGAAAAAGAACCUGAAACCGUGUACGUACAAGCAGUGGGAGCACAGGUUUACCUGUGUGACUGCGUACCUUUUGUAUAAUGGGUCAGCGACUUAUAUUCUGUAGCAAGGUUAACCGAAUAGGGGAGCCGGAGGGAAACCGAGUCUUAAUUGGGCGUUAAGUUGCAGGGUAUAGACCCGAAACCCGGUGAUCUAGCCAUGGGCAGGUUGAAGGUUGGGUAACACUAACUGGAGGACCGAACCGACUAAUGUUGAAAAAUUAGCGGAUGACCUGUGGCUGGGGGUGAAAGGCCAAUCAAACCGGGAGAUAGCUGGUUCUCCCCGAAAGCUAUUUAGGUAGCGCCUCGUGAAUUCAUCUCCGGGGGUAGAGCACUGUUUCGGCUAGGGGGCCAUCCCGGCUUACCAACCCGAUGCAAACUGCGAAUACCGGAGAAUGUUAUCACGGGAGACACACGGCGGGUGCUAACGUCCGUCGUGAAGAGGGAAACAACCCAGACCGCCAGCUAAGGUCCCAAAGUCAUGGUUAAGUGGGAAACGAUGUGGGAAGGCCCAGACAGCCAGGAUGUUGGCUUAGAAGCAGCCAUCAUUUAAAGAAAGCGUAAUAGCUCACUGGUCGAGUCGGCCUGCGCGGAAGAUGUAACGGGGCUAAACCAU